rnacentral:tRNA from 1 species
GGGUCGCUCAGUUGGUCAGAGUGUGGUGCUGAUAAUGCCAAGGUUGCAGGUUCGAUCCCCGUAUGGGAGAACUG